GCUGUUGAGAAGCAAAGGAAAAAUGAUGCUACCACAAGGGAGAAACCCGUCUGAAGACCACUGCUUCAUUAAACCCAAGUGCUAUUUAGAAUCAUAAUGUUACUAGCGACCGCAGUUUACUGGGCAUUUACUCUCAGGAACACCUCCAACUCCUGUGAUCACAGAGCCAUCGGCUUCUGUCCUCACCAUUCUGGACUGGAUCCCCAGAAUACACAUUCUUGGGACUAAAUUGACCAGCCCAGAAGGGGCCAGCAGAACUCCUAACACCCUGGAUAUCUACGAUUGUGGUUCUACAACCAACCUUAGAUCAGCUAGAAAUCCCAGAAUGAAAUCACCAGGAAUCACGGAAUAUGACCACAAGCCCCGUGGGAGACACUUCAGUCAGGCCUAGUUAGGCUGGAAUAAUGACAUCAAAAGGAUAUAGUCUCCACUGACACAUUGUUCCAAUUUUUCUGGUCGUUUUUAACAUUUUCUCUCUUUCAUGUUACUUGUGGCCAUAAAAAACCAUUGAUUCUAUUUUGAAUGUAUCCAGUUUAGACUUUUUCUUGAGUGGCUUUUUUAAAAACCAGAAUAUGACUAACACAGCAAGCAGAGUCUGAGACACUGUCCUAUGAGAAUGAGAAUAUCACACAUACGCAUGUGACACGAGGAUCACUGCUUCUCAAGAAACAGGACAGGCAUGUGUGGAACAGGAGGGAAAUGGAAGCAGGCACCUGAUGGCCUUGGAAGCAUUGAUGAU